rnacentral:rRNA from 1 species
AACGAACGCUGGCGGCAGGCUUAACACAUGCAAGUCGAACGCCCCGCAAGGGGAGCGGCAGACGGGUGAGUAACGCGUGGGAACAUACCCUUUUCUACGGAAUAGCUCUGGGAAACUGGAAUUAAUACCGUAUACGCCCUACGGGGGAAAGAUUUAUCGGGGAAGGAUUGGCCCGCGUUGGAUCAGCUAGUUGGUGGGGUAAAGGCCUACCAAGGCGACGAUCCAUAGCUGGUCUGAGAGGAUGAUCAGCCACAUUGGGACUGAGACACGGCCCAAACUCCUACGGGAGGCAGCAGUGGGGAAUAUUGGACAAUGGGCGCAAGCCUGAUCCAGCCAUGCCGCGUGAGUGAUGAAGGCCUUAGGGUUGUAAAGCUCUUUCACCGAUGAAGAUAAUGACGGUAGUCGGAGAAGAAGCCCCGGCUAACUUCGUGCCAGCCGCCGCGGUAACAC